GAAAUGUGAUACGUAAUGUGAAUUGCAAAUUCAGUGAAUCAUCGAGUCUUUGAACGCACAUUGCGCCCCCUGGUAUUCCGGGGGGCAUGCCUGUCCGAGCGUCAUUUCUGCCCUCAAGCACGGCUUGUGUGUUGGGCCCCGUCCUCCGAUCCCGGGGGACGGGCCCGAAAGGCAGCGGCGGCACCGCGUCCGGUCCUCGAGCGUAUGGGGCUUUGUCACCCGCUCUGUAGGCCCGGCCGGCGCUUGCCGAUCAACCCAAAUUUUUAUCCAGGUUGACCUCGGAUCAGGUAGGGAUACCCGCUGAACUUAAGC
rnacentral:misc_RNA from 1 species